UUUGAAGACAAAUGCCCAUAUUUAACAGCGAAUUUAGAUAUAAAAAAUACUUCGGCUCCUCAUGUAAAGGCGUCAUAUGUACAUAUUAUGGAAAGGAGAAACAAGAUAUGAGUGCCAAGUGACAACAUCAUUUACACUUUUUUUUUACAUCAUUUACACUUUUUUUUUUCUGGAUUUUAAUACAAACCUUAUUGAUUGGAAAUUCUCUUUCCAAUUAUCCUCUCCCUCAGUUUUUCCUAAUUAAACAAGUUCCUGGUGUGGAGCUACAUGAGGCCCUGAUGCUAUUGUGAAAUGCAGACCCCUUCGAUGGCCUGAUUGGAGCACAAAAGCAACUUGUGUUGCUGCCAGUUCUGCAGCCUCCUGUCUUUGUCUCCGCUGCUGCAAGAUACUGAUGGCCCAUGCCAUGAUGUAACAGGGUAAAAGAAAACCAGCUGCUCGUAGCAAGAAAAGAGAGAAAAAGGUAGACACAUCAUCAUCAUCUCCAUCAGCAUCUGUAACAAUCAAUGCAUGCCGCACGAGUAGAAGGGCCAUUAACUAAUAAGAAAAAAAACAGUAAGCAUCGAAAGCAAAUCCAAAUUAUAUAAGAAAAAACAUUAGUAAGAGAACUUGUAACGAGGUAUCGUAGGUGGCAUGUCCAGGUGUCCAACAUCUCCAAAGUAUAGAUUAAGUAGGUUUUCCCUCAAAUGCUAAAAUAUCAAACGUCAUUAGUUAUUGUGAAAACAUAAUCAUUUUGUAGAAGAAAAUAAAACUUCCAAGCUAAGGACAACCAUAAUGGUAAAACAAAUAACUUUCUUCAUUUAAUCAAGCCUGCCAUUCAAUAUUAUCCUUAGCCUUCCUCAUUCCAUAAAAGAAAUGACAUAUUGGUCUGAUCAGCAUGCAGCAGAAACACAAAAUUUACAGUUACAUGUCAAAGUUCUACAUAAUUAUGAGGGUGAAUUUGUGAAUCAAAAGGCAUACGAUUAGAGCAGCUGAACGGCAAAAUGUGGCUCCACUAGCAUUUGAAGCAGCAUAAUCAUCAUACUCAGCUUCCAGAAAAUGACGUUCUGCUUCUGCAAUUGCCAAAAGGCGAGGAUCACGCAGAUCCAGAGGAGUGCCAGAGAUGGUCCAGCCUCCACCAAUAUCAAUAGCAGUGUCUUCAGGACGAGGUGGACGAGGUGGAGCAGUAUAACCAGGUUGAUAAGGCUGGUGACAUAUCUCACAAGUGAUAUCCCCUUUCUCAUUACACCAA
rnacentral:misc_RNA from 1 species